rnacentral:lncRNA from 1 species
UCUUGGCUGGGCUGGAACUGGCAGCAAGGGCACUUGUACAGGCGUCACUACUGUUCCCUUGAAAUGUGGAUUUAUGUGUAUGUUCUUCGGUUGCUGAGGUGUCACUGGCGGCGGAGUCAUCAUUAUUCUAGGCGUUUCUAUCUGAGGGGGCAUAUGUAGCCCUGGAGGAGGAGAAGAAUGAUGCUGAUGCAUUGUUGAUGGUGUGUUUGGCAGCAGUGCAGGUCUGUGAUCCUUCAUUCUUCCCCUAUCAUUGUCUCUCCUUUGUUCUCCCAUUCCAUGGCACAUAAUUGAGCCUCCUCUUCGCCCUCCUCUCCUUGAGCCGUACCGCCCCUGUUUAAGCUGCCUUUCCCUUUCUUCAAAUUCAAGUAAUGCUGCUUUGGCUUCUGCAGAAAGUUCCAAAGUUUCUGGAAUGUUUCUCCUUUCUCUUGUCACAUCUGAGAGUCUAAUUAUCGUUCCUUCUUUCCGUUCAGUUUUGAAACGUAAUCGUCCAGACUCUUCGUCAUCAUCUUCCUCUUCAUCAGAUUCCUCUUUUGUUUCUUCUUGAAGUUCCAGAGAUUCAAUAGCUGCCUCUUCUGAUUCAUUUGUCAUUGUCUGGGAUUCUUCCAGCUCCUCAUCAGCUGUAUACUCUUCUUGUUCUUCCAUUGCUUGCUCAUUGUAUGACUGCAUGUAGUCUUCAUCUGGAAAUUCAUCCAAGGGUUCAUUGAUUUCAAGGUCUAGCACUUCAUCAUCUUCUCCAGGCUCUUCCCCAUAUUCUAUUUGGUCUUCUGUCAGUUCAGGAUCGUUGCCUUCGUAAUGUCCUUCCUCCGAAUACUCUGAGGCAUACACUUCAGGUGCUUCAGAUUUGUCAUAACCAAUUUCAUCUUCUCCUUGGUUGUACCCAGACUCAUGUUCAACUGAUGGAUCACUGAUGUUCUCAGAGAGUUCGUAUGAUGUAAACAUGCCAGAUGUAGCAUUGAGGCUAACCGUGACACCUUGAGAACGAAAUUCUUGUUCCUCUUCAUUGUCACUUUGCAGGAGGUCAUCAUUUAGCUCUUCAUCUGACAAGUCUGACUGAUUCUUUUUACCAGCAAGCAAAUCCUCUCCAAGCAAAUCAUCUUCAAGUUCACUGUCCCAUUCAUCAUCUCCAGCUCUUCUUCUCCAAGAUCUUUCCGCACCAGGCUUAUCAAACU